rnacentral:tRNA from 1 species
GGUGUGGCUCAGUUUGGUAGAGCACCUGGUUUGGGACCAGGGGGUCGCAGGUUCGAAUCCUGUCACC